rnacentral:rRNA from 1 species
UACGAAGGGGGCUAGCGUUGCUCGGAAUCACUGGGCGUAAAGGGUGCGUAGGCGGGUCUUUAAGUCAGGGGUGAAAUCCUGGAGCUCAACUCCAGAACUGCCUUUGAUACUGAAAGUCUUGAGUAUGGGAGAGGUGAGUGGAACUGCGAGUGUAGAGGUGAAAUUCGUAGAUAUUCGCAAGAACGACCAGUGGCGAAGGCGGCUCACUGGCCCAUAACGUGACGCUGAGGCACGAAAGCGUG